rnacentral:rRNA from 1 species
AAGUGCGAAUGCUGACAUGAGUAGCGUUAAAGGGGGUGAAAAGCCCCCUCGCCGAAAGCGCAAGGUUUCCUACGCAACGUUCAUCGGCGUAGGGUGAGUCGGCCCCUAAGGCGAGGCAGAGAUGCGUAGCUGAUGGGAAACAGGUCAAUAUUCCUGUACCGAUCAAUAGUGCGAUGUGGGGACGGAGAAGGUUAGCUCAGCCGGGUGUUGGAUGUCCCGGUUCAA